AUACGUAGGGAGCGAGCGUUGCCCGGAAUUACUGGGCGUAAAGGGCGCGUAGGCGGCGCUUCAAGUCGUCUGUCAAAUGGGAGGGCUUAACCCUUUUUCGCAGACGAAACUGGAGAGCUUGAGAAGCAGAGAGGCAAACAGAAUUCCUGGUGUAGCGGUGAAAUGCGUAGAUAUCAGGAAGAAUACCAGUGGCGAAGGCGGUUUGCUGGCUGCAUACUGACGCUGAAGCGCGAAAGCCAGGGGAGCGAACGGGAUUAGAUACCCCGGUAGUCCUGGCAGUAAACGAUGUAUGCUGGGUGUGAGACUAGCGAUAGUUUCGUGCCGAAGUUAACGCGAUAAGCAUACCGCCUGGGGAGUACGGUCGCAAGAUUGAAACUCAAAUGAAUUGACGGGG
rnacentral:rRNA from 1 species